GGGAGAGCUCAUAGCAAAGGCUGGAUGCCCCUGAGUCGGCAGUGGGGGCGGCUGUAAAAAAGAUAGCGUAGGGCCGCUGAGUCAGGCCGGCUUUUUUUUUUUCUCUUUUGCAGCAGCCGCCGCCACCGCCUCCAGCCCCACCCGAGCGACCCUGCCCCGUCACAGAGCGCAUGCGCGCAGUAGGGGAUGUCGGGAGCGCGCAGCGGCCCCGGGGGCAGUAGCAGCAGCGGCGGCGGCGGCAGCGGCAGCGCCGGGGACGCGGACGUUGACGGGGCGGUGUCGGUGUGGGAGGUGGUCGAGUUCCUCGCGAAGCUGCUGGGCACCGCCGCCGCGCUGAAGCUGGUUCUCUACGUGUUCCAGGCGUGCCUCGCGAUGGCCUGGAAGUCCGGCGGGGCCAAUCACUCGGAGCUCAUCCAAAAUCUCCGCAAAAAUGGAAUAAUCAAGUCAGAGAAAGUAUUUGAAGUAAUGCUGGCCACAGACCGUGCUCACUAUGCAAAAUGUAAUCCCUACAUGGAUUCUCCACAAUCAAUAGGUUUCCAAGCAACAAUCAGUGCUCCACACAUGCAUGCAUACGCUCUAGAACUUCUGUUUGAUCAGUUGCAUGAUGGAGCCAAAGCUCUUGAUGUUGGUUCUGGAAGUGGAAUCCUUACUGCCUGCUUUGCCCGUAUGGUUGGUGCUACUGGAAAAGUCAUAGGAAUCGAUCAUAUCAAGGAGUUAGUAGAUGAUUCAAUAAGUAACGUCAAAAAGGAUGAUCCAACAUUUUUGUCUUCAGGACGAGUCAAACUAGUUGUGGGAGAUGGAAGAUUGGGAUACUCCGAAGAAGCUCCCUACGAUGCUAUUCAUGUAGGAGCUGCAGCUCCAGUUGUGCCCCAAGCACUAAUAGAUCAGUUGAAGCCUGGUGGAAGAUUGAUUUUACCAGUUGGUCCUGCAGGUGGAAAUCAGAUGCUGGAACAAUAUGACAAACUACAAGAUGGCAGCGUCAAAAUGAAGCCUCUGAUGGGGGUGAUAUACGUGCCUUUAACAGAUAAAGAGAAGCAGUGGUCCAGGUGGAAGUGAUUAUCAAUUCCACUCUUUCUUCUUCCACACGUACAAGGUGAAAGGGUGUGGAUUUUAAGCAGUUAGACUACACGGGCUACUUUUGGUCACUUUUCUGCUACUCCAUGCUUUGAAAAGUAGUCCUCUGCGUUAUGACAUCAUGAAUUUGUAACAUUAAAAAUGGAGAAAAAUCAUUGCAUGGUCUGUACUUCUUUUGUUUACCUCAUAGUUUUGGAAAAUUGGGGAGGGAUGUGGUAGCAUAAAGGGAUCUAUGCAAUUAUCUUUUAGAGACUUUCAUAUUUCCUUGGAGUUAAAUGCCAUAGUGAAGUCAAGCACAAGGAUAAAAACUUAGGUAUCAAACUUAGGUUGAUACUUAGGUAUCAAACAUUAUAGGCUUUAUCAAGCUGGCAUGUAGGUUAUUUUGGUUUUGACCAUUUAAUCAUUUUAUCAUUUUAAUAAUAAUUACUACUUAUUCAUAUGGUGUUUUAAAGUUUGCAUAGUAUAUAUUUUGCCACAAUUCUGAGAAGUAGUUCAUAUAAAUUUGACUUCCCCUACUUAACAGAUAAAGAAUGGAAGUUCUGAGAGGUUAAUUGAUUUGUCCAUGAUCCAUUAGGGUCAGAUUGCAGGUCUCUUGAUCCUCAUCCAGCCCUCUGUCCCCUUAGCCCUGCUUCCUAAACUCCUGACUUGGAGAGAGAGAACCAGUUUGGUUUGAGUCAAUGCUGAAUCUCCCAAUUCCAAAACUUUUAUUAGUCAGGUUUUCAGGAAUGAGUCAGAGCUUAGUUCAGUCUUCCUUGUAUCCACAAUGGGAUAUAGUCCACCAUGAACUGCUUUGGUUUCCUCACCUGGUUGUGAUUAAAGUAAUCUUGCCUUGAACUACAGGUCAAUCUAAUUCCAGGCUUAGAAAGGAUAACUCUUAACAGUAGCCUUGUUGCUGUUGACAGUUGUACUAAUAGUAAUAUGUCAUAUGUCAUAUAAUCAUGCAAAAUAAGCCUGUCAGCAGUUCCAUUUGAUUCUGGUAUAUAAUGCAACUAUAUAAAAUUUAGUAAGAAAUAUGCAAAUAAUGCUCUCAUUAAAUCACUGAAACUUGAUGAGUAGUAGAAUUUUGUUUUUCACUUGUCAAAAAAUCAAUUUUCAUUUUUUUCUCCUGGGGAAACUCACACAAUUAAUACUUUGCUGUCUAGAAUUUUAAAAAGGAAGACACUACAGUUUUUUUUUUUUAAAGAGUAUAAUUUUGAAGACCUUCAAACAAAACCAGUUUUAAAGGACUUAAGUAAAAGGGAAGGUACUGGAUUAUAACAAAAUUGUAGGAUGUUAUAGUAAUUGCUAUUUAAAAGAGUAUAUGUAUUUACUAUGGAAAUGUUCUGUAUUUCUUGGGAAUUAUUUUAUUUCUUUUUUUUCAGUUCCUUGUGUAUAUUUUAUUUUCAUUUAAUAGUAUUUUAUUUUUCUCAAUUACGUUUUCAACUCAAGAUUUUGAAUUCCAAAUUUUUGAGUUUCAAAUUAACAUGACAUGUACAGUCAUGUUAAACAAAUUUUGGAGGAUAAUUUUUUAAAAAUUAUAGUUCAUUUUUUGUUAGAUCUGUAUUUGAUAUUUUUGUUUAAAUAAGUGCAUUUUCUUGAAACAAAAACUGUAGUUCAAAAUACAGUAUAGUUUAAAUAUAACUUUGGGAUUUAGAGUAUAUUACAAAGAUAAAAUCAAACCUACAAAUCAAAUUCUGUGGGUUAAGAAAAGAAAAGGUUUUCUUUUUCAGUUUGUAUUUUUGAGGGGGGUAAUAUUAUAAACUACUUUGUAAAUAUUGAGAACAGUGAAUUUGUUGUCUAUAUUUGUGGCCAAAUGUGCCCAUGCUUCUUAUUAAAAAUCUAGGUCUGGAACAAACCUAGAUAGAUCAUACCAUUUGGUUUUUUCCCUUUCUGCCUCUUUUUAGGCAGAGCCAUAUUUGACCCAUCCAUGUUAGAUAAGGCUCCUUCCCUAUUUUAAAAAGAUAUUCUGAAGAAAGAGUGCUUGUUAACCCUUUUUUGGACUCGAGUGUUUAGCAAUCUUCACUGUGAAAUUUUUUUAACUUUCUGUUUGGUUUAAAGUUCAGAUGUGCUUUUAAAAAAAUUACAAACAUUUCUCUAUAUUUACAUUCUCUUCUUCCCACUGACCUAGUAAAUUUUCUGUUUAUAACCAAGAACUCAUGGUUCUCCAACAAAGAGGGGAGGAGAAGAGGGUACAUAUCCUUUUUUCUGAGACCAAGAUUGGUUAUUAUAAUCAUAACAAUGGCUGCUUCUGCUGUGGUUUUGAUGAAAUUCUUAUUUUUUCAUGGAUAUUGAAAAGUUAAUAAUUAUACUUUAGUUGUUCUUAAUGCCCUUCAUGUUCCUGCAAAUGAUAAAUUUGGUUCUUUAGCAUUUUUUUUUCCUCAAACUUUUACAUAUAAGUAAUAAAGAACUGGGAUGGAAUACUCUAGAGAGUACUGACUUUGUUUGCUAGAUGCUUUAAUUUGAGUCCUGGCUACCACUAAUUUCCUAUCUGUAAACCUGUUUCCCAAUAGUCAUAGUAUCUAAGAAUGAGAUGUAAUAUCUGCAGAGUGCUUAGUAUAGUGCCUUGCACAUGGAAAAUGCUUAAUAGUUAAUUUCAGUUUCUUCCCUUUACUUAUAGAGGGUGCUGAUGGUUUUAGUGGAUAAAGUGCUGGAUCUGGAAUCAGAAGACUUGAGUUCAAAUUCAACCUUAGACACCUGCUAGUUGUGGGACCCUGAGCAAGUCACUUAAUCCUGUUUGCUUCAGUUUCCUCAUUUUUAAAGUGAGGAUGAUAAUAGCAACUACAGGGAAUACUUUAUUCUCUUCUCCUGUACCAGCUUCAGUGGAUUGUUUGUAUCAAAUGAGAAUGUAUGUCAAGGACUUUAAUUAUAAAAUGCUAUAUAAAUGUCAGCUAUUAUUAUUCUUAAUUAUGUAAAGAGUAUUUUCUCUGUAGUAACUAUAUUGGAAGGCCAAAAUCAAGGAAUUUCUCAUGCAUGCCUAAGUAGGGAAUAAAUUAUAGUGGAAAAACAAGCUUAAAAAAAGGCACAUGGAUUCAAGCUUUGUAUGUUGAAAGAAGCCCUUGGGUUUUUGGUUAGUAUCAGAAGAAAAGAAUGCCAAAUUAGUAACUUUCUAGUUGAGUCCCUAACACAUUUACCUUUAACACAUUUCUCAAACUAACAUUUAAAAUAAAAUACCAUGCCAGGUACAAAAUUAGUGUCUUGUCAAUGAUAUAGACUUAUAUCUGGGUUGAAAAAUUAAGGGGUGCUUCAUGGUGAUUCCGCUUCUGAGUUGGAAAUUCAUAGAGUGUAGACAAAUGUUUUAUUCUAAAAAUUUACUCUUUCCAAUGUACUGAAGAGUUAAUAGAUCAAAGUUUUUGACCAGCUGGAAAGCAAUUUUUCAUUUGUUUUGUUAUACUUAUUUAAUUUAGGAAUGCCUUUUGUUUCUUUUGGAUUUCAAUGCAUCAUCCGGUGUUUUGCAAAGAAUGGAUCCUGAAUAAAUAUUGAUCUGACUGGAAGAAUUCAUUGAAUUCCAUGCAUUAAUUUCAUCAUGAUUUUUUGGUUAUGGGACUUUUAGAAAACAUUUAAUACUGAGAGUUUUUGUUUUUGUUUUUGUUUUUUGUUUGUUUUUUGUACUUUGAAGGUCCCCUGCAAAAGAUGCAAAGUAUAAUUAAUUAACAUGGGAUGAAUUGUAAAAGCUACAUCAACUUGACCCGAAUAUAAUAUUACAGUGGAUCGCUCAUCUCCAGUUCUAAGAGCUUUUUGAAAACCAACAGCAUCACAACUUGUUUCGAACUUUGUCACACUGUUAUAAUCAGCAUGAAAAUGCGUGGUUUUGUGGGUUUCCAGUUCUUUUAAAGAAGCACAGAGUCAAUCUAGUAGAAAGGGAGGCACAGAGUAUACAUUUGUGCAUUGUUAAUUUUAACAUGCCUGCAUUUUAUGUUCAUCUAUUUACAGAAGGGGAUUUCUGCAAAUCAUGAAAAACAUAGCUUGUGAAUUCCGAUAUUGACUUUGGGGGGGAGGGAGGUUGAUUUUUUUCUCUUCUCGGGUCCUUAAUUUAGCUCCAAUAUAUUCAUUGAUCAGAUUGCUUCUGUGCAUCUAAUGACACUAUUUAUAACAUCAAGUUUUCUGUAUUCAGAUGAUUGUUAGAUGCUAUUAAGAAAAUAGAGAUGAGCUUCCUUUUUAAAGCUUUUGAUGUGGUGUCAUAGAAUAGCAUGUAGUAGAUACAAUCAAUCAGCUGCUUUGUUACCUUUAAAACCAGGCAUUUGUAUAUAUGAAACUUCAAGAGAUCAAAGGUGAUAUCUCUUAUACACUUGGCUGUUCAGAUUGGACAUAACUGACAUAGUUCCCCUUGAUAUUUCCUCUUUUGAAAUGACCAGAGACUUGUAGCUCAGUAUUGUUUUUCUUGUUUGUAAUUCAUUGCUGAUAAUGUAUAUGAAUUUAACAUGCUGUGUAAGCUGUGUCCUAGUUACUGAACAGUUUAUGCAGUGCUGCUUUGCCAAAUAAAGUUAAAAGCAAAAACAGAA